GAACCUAGGUGAGCCAGGAUCUCACAGAUUUCUUGUCAGAAAAGGAUAGUGACACCAUCAGCUGGCAGGAGAAACAGUAGGGUGAGUCUCUGGGGAAGCGGAGCUCCAGGACGCAUUGGUGGGGUCUUCAAUCCAGGGAAGCCUGGCCAGCAUCCUGAUGGCAUCUGGAACCUGGAGGCUGAAAAUCUAACCGGGAUUCUUACGCCGGUCCUUGCGCUUUGCACCACAUGCACUUAACCUGCUGCGCUACCGCCAGACUCCCGAGAGGCUGCUUUCUAAGAAGUUCCUUCUUCAACAUUAAGAAGCCACAGAAGAGAGGAAACUAACCAAGUCCCCAAAUCUGCUGUAGGCUUUAGUGGUUAGAAAAACAUACUGUCCUCUUCUUCAGUCAGCUGCAGUAACUCAAG